GAUGAACGCUGGCGGCGUGCCUAAUACAUGCAAGUCGAACGCUGGAAAUCUAGCUUGCUAGAUUGAAGGAGUGGCGAACGGGUGAGUAAUACAUAAGCAACCUACCCACGAAGACUGGGAUAAUCUCUGGAAACGGGGACUAAUACCGGAUAGGUAAUCGGAAGGCAUCUUCUGAUUAUUAAAGGUUAAAAACACUGGUGGAUGGGCUUAUGGCGCAUUAGUUAGUUGGUGAGGUAACGGCCCACCAAGACGAUGAUGCGUAGCCGGCCUGAGAGGGUGAACGGCCACAUUGGGACUGAGACACGGCCCAGACUCCUACGGGAGGCAGCAGUAGGGAAUUUUCGGCAAUGGGGGAAACCCUGACCGAGCAACGCCGCGUGAGUGAUGACGGCCUUCGGGCUGUAAAGCUCUGUUGUAAGGGAAGAACGGUAGAUAGAGAAUAUCUAAAUGACGGUACCUUACCAGAAAGCCACGGCUAACUACGUG
rnacentral:rRNA from 1 species